rnacentral:rRNA from 1 species
CAAGGAAGGCAGCAGGCGCGCAAAUUACCCACUCCCGGCACGGGGAGGUAGUGACGAAAAAUAACGAUACGGGACUCAUCCGAGGCCCCGUAAUCGGAAUGAGUACACUUUAAAUCCUUUAACGAGGAUCAAUUGGAGGGCAAGUCUGGUGCCAGCAGCCGCGGUAAUUCCAGCUCCAAUAGCGUAUAUUAAAGUUGUUGCGGUUAAAAAGCUCGUAGUCGAAUCUGUGUCGUGCGCCGCCGGUUCAUCGCUCGCGGUGUCAACUGGCGUGUCGCAGGACGUCCUGCCGGUGGACUUAGCCGCGCGUUGUCGUCUUGUACGGCGCGCGUGGCGGUCCAACUUCAACAAUCCCACCGCGGUGCUCUUCGCUGAGUGUCGAGGUGGGCCGGCACGUUUACUUUGAACAAAUUAGAGUGCUUAAAGCAGGCUAAAAUUUCGCCUGAAUACUGUGUGCAUGGAAUAAUGGAAUAGGACCUCGGUUCUAUUUUGUUAGUUUUCGGAACCCCGAGGUAAUGAUUAAUAGGAACGGAUGGGGGCAUUCGUAUUGCGACGUUAGAGGUGAAAUUCUUGGAUCGUCGCAAGACGGACUUAAGCGAAAGCAUUUGCCAAAAACGCUUUCAUUGAUCAAGAACGAAAGUUAGAGGUUCGAAGGCGAUCAGAUACCGCCCUAGUUCUAACCAUAAACGAUGCCAGCUAGCGAUCCGCCGACGUUCCUCCGAUGACUCGGCGGGCAGCUUCCGGGAAACCAAAGCUUUUGGGUUCCGGGGGAAGU